CUACGGGCUGCUGCAGUGAGGAAUAUUGCACAAUGGGGGGAACCCUGAUGCAGCAACGCCGCGUGGAGGAUGACGCAUUUCGGUGUGUAAACUCCUUUUAUAUGUCAAGAAAAUGACGGUAGCAUAUGAAUAAGCACCGGCUAACUCCGUGCCAGCAGCCGCGGUAAUACGGAGGGUGCAAGCGUUACUCGGAACCACUGGGCGUAAAGGACGCGUAGGCGGGCUUGUAAGUCAGGUGUGAAAUCCUACAGCUUAACUGUAGAACUGCACUUGAAACUACGAGCCUAGAGUAUGGGAGGGGGAGAUGGAAUUAGUGGUGUAGGGGUAAAAUCCGUAGAUAUCACUAGGAAUACCUAAAGCGAAGGCGAUCUCCUGGAACAUAACUGACGCUAAGGCGUGAAAGCGUGGGGAGCAAACAGGAUUAGAUACCCGCGUAGUC
rnacentral:rRNA from 1 species